rnacentral:rRNA from 1 species
UGAACGCGAAGAACCUUACCAGGUCUUGACAUCCAGUGCAAACCUAAGAGAUCAGGUGUUCCCUUCGGGGACGCUGAGACAGGUGGUGCAUGGCUGUCGUCAGCUCGUGUCGUGAGAUGUUGGGUUAAGUCCCGCAACGAGCGCAACCCUUGUCAUUAGUUGCCAUCAUUAAGUUGGGCACUCUAAUGAGACUGCCGGUGACAAACCGGAGGAAGGUGGGGAUGACGUCAAGUCAUCAUGCCCCUUAUGACCUGGGCUACACACGUGCUACAAUGGACGGUACAACGAGAAGCGAACCUGCGAAGGCAAGCGGAUCUCUUAAAGCCGUUCUCAGUUCGGACUGUAGGCUGCAACUCGCCUACACGAAGCUGGAAUCGCUAGUAAUCGCGGAUCAGCACGCCGCGGUGAAUACGUUCCCGGGUCUUGUACACACCG